UCUCCGUUGGUGAACCAGCGGAGGGAUCAUUACAGGACUCGCAAGACUCCUUCACCCUGUGAACCUCACUACAAGCACGUUGCUUCGGCGGGUGUCCCGGCGGGGGUUUUCCCUCGCCGGGGCGCACAGCCCGCCGGCAGCCUGCUAUACUCUGUCUCUCUGCGUUGGCAUCUCGAGAAAAAACAAACAAGUUAAAACUUUCAACAACGGAUCUCUUGGUUCUG
rnacentral:misc_RNA from 1 species